ACAGAGGAGAAAAUGCGGGUGUCCGACCUUUUGGCUUUGGCUGAGCCACACUGAGUGAAGAGGAAUUGCCUUGGGCUACCUAUAGAAUAUAUAAUAUAUUAAUAUACUUCUGAUGAGCCAGCGGAGAUCAUGUCUUCUGAAAGGUGUUUCAAUGACUUCAGGCCCACCUGGAUAAUGCAGGACAAUCUUCCCACCUCAAGGGUCUUCCCUCUCCCCAACACCAUGUCUGAAGAAGUUACACAAAUGAGAAAAAGUGGCUGCUCACCUUAGGCCCUUUAGGACCUCACCAUCCAAAUCAGUAACCACACUCGAAGACCACCCUUCCAGACUGUCCCUGAGACUUCUUUCCAGACUCCACUGUUUAUUUGUUUGCAAAAUGCUUCUUUCAUGUGUAAGCAGGACAAAGUAGAGGUCACAAUGACAAAGUUCUGGAGAAGACCUGAAUACCUGAUAACCCCUUUAAAUAACAUUCUUGUGACCUGUGUCUUCCUCACAGAAAUUUUCUAGUUUUCAGCAACUUCUUCUGUUCCAUUUGUCCCCAAACUUCUCACUCCCCUGGCCAAGCCCAAGAACAAUGCUGAUCAGAUUACAGUCUCUCCAUGUUCAUAGCGAAGUUCAAAGUAUAAUGGCCUGCAUGGAAAGUGAUUGCGCAACAAGCUGACCGACAGACAUGUUCUACAAUGGACACUCUGCCACCCAUUCACUGAAAUCAGAGUGACCGCAGGACUAUUUGGAACAAAAGUGAGCCACACUGUGUAUUUACUUUUUUUUUUUGGUAC
rnacentral:lncRNA from 1 species